GGCGCUGGCUCUAUCAAACCGGGGCGGCGUCGUAACCAUGAAAGAGAGUUUGAAAUGGCAUUCACCACUGAAGUCAAAGCCGGCAUCGUUGCCGAAUUCCAGCGCGCCCAA
rfam:Dechloromonas denitrificans strain ATCC BAA-841 contig005, whole genome shotgun sequence.